rnacentral:rRNA from 1 species
GAGCUUGCUUUUUAACUUAGUGGCGGACGGGUGAGUAACACGUGAGUAACCUACCUUUCAAAGGGGGAUAACGUCUGGAAACGGACGCUAAUACCGCAUAAUACUAUUUGAGGGCAUCCUCGGAUAGUCAAAGGAGAAAUCCGAUGGGAGAUGGACUCGCGGCUGAUUAGAUAGUUGGCGGGGUAGAGGCCCACCAAGUCGACGAUCAGUAGCCGGACUGAGAGGUUGAACGGCCACAUUGGGACUGAGACACGGCCCAGACUCCUACGGGAGGCAGCAGUGGGGGAUAUUGCACAAUGGGGGAAACCCUGAUGCAGCGACGCCGCGUGAGGGAAGACGGUUUUCGGAUUGUAAACCUCUGUCUUUGGGGACGAAUUGAGACGGUACCCAAGGAGGAAGCUCCGGCUAACUACGUGCCAGCAGCCGCGGUAAUACGUAGGGAGCAAGCGUUGUCCGGAAUUACUGGGUGUAAAGGGAGCGUAGGCGGGAUAGUAAGUUGAUUGUUAAAACUAUCGGCUCAACUGGUAGAUGCGAUCAAAACUGCAAUUCUUGAGUGAAGUAGAGGCAGGCGGAAUUCCUAGUGUAGCGGUGAAAUGCGUAGAUAUUAGGAGGAACACCAGUGGCGAAGGCGGCCUGCUGGGCUUUAACUGACGCUGAGGCUCGAAAGUGUGGGUAGCAAACAGGAUUAGAUACCCUGGUAGUCCACACUGUAAACGAUGAUUACUAGGUGUGGGUGGACUGACCCCAUCCGUGCCGCAGUUAACACAAUAAGUAAUCC